rnacentral:rRNA from 1 species
UCGUGUCGUGAGAUGGUUUGGGUUAACGUCCGCAACGAGCGCAACCCUUGUGUUUUAGUUGCAAACAGGUCAAGCUGUGCACUCUAGACAGACUGCCGUGGACAACACGGAGGAAGGUGGGGGAUGACGUCAAAUCAUCAUGCCCCUUAUGAUCUGGGCUACACACGUGCUACAAUGGCCGGUACAACGGGCAGCGAAGGAGCGAUCCGGAGCGAAUCCUAAAAAGCCGGUCCCAGUUCGGAUUGCAGGCUGAAACUCGCCUACAUGAAGUUGGAGUUGCUAGUAAUCGCGAAUCAGAAUGUCGCGGUGAAUGCGUUCCCGGGUCUU